rnacentral:rRNA from 1 species
CCUACGGGGGGCAGCAGUGGGGAAUAUUGCACAAUGGGGGAAACCCUGAUGCAGCGACGCCGCGUGAGUGAAGCAGUAAUUCGUUAUGUAAAGCUCUAUCAGCAGGGAAGCAAAUGACGGUACCUGAGUAAGAAGCCCCGGCUAACUACGUGCCAGCAGCCGCGGUAAGACGUAGGGGGCAAGCGUUAUCCGGAUUUAGUGGGUGUAAAGGGAGAUUAGACGGCAGUGCAAGUCUGGAGUGAAAGGCGGGGGCUCAACCCCCGGACUGCUCUGGAAACUGUACGGCUGGAGUGCAGGAGAGGUAAGUGGAAUUCCUAGUGUAGCGGUGAAAUGCGUAGAUAUUAGGAGGAACACCAGUGGCGAAGGCGGCUUACUGGACUGUAACUGACGUUGAGGCUCGAAAGCGUGGGGAGCAAACAGGAUUAGAUACCCUAGUAGUC